AUUGAACGCUGGCGGCAGGCCUAACACAUGCAAGUCGAACGAGUGGCGGACGGGUGAGUAAUGUCUGGGAAACUGCCUGAUGGAGGGGGAUAACUAUUGGAAACGAUAGCUAAUACCGCAUACUUUUGGAUGGACCUGCGUUGUAUUAGUUAGUUGGUGAGGUAACGGCUCACCAAGGCGACGAUACAUAGCCGACCUGUGAGGGAGAGCGGCCAAACUGGGACUGAGACACGGCCCAAACUCCUACGGGAGGCAGCAGUGGGGAAUAUUGGACAAUGGGCGAAAGCCUGAUCCAGCCAUGCCGCUUGUGUGAAGAAGGUCUUCGGAUUGUAAAGCACUUUAAGUUGGGAGGCGUUACCAACAGAAUAAGCACCGGCUAACUUCGUGCCAGCAGCCGCGGUAAUUC
rnacentral:rRNA from 1 species